AUUGAACGCUGGCGGCAUGCCUUACACAUGCAAGUCGAACGGCAGCACGGGAGCAAUCCUGGUGGCGAGUGGCGAACGGGUGAGCAAUAUAUCGGAACGUGCCCGGUCGUGGGGAUAACGUAGCGAAAGCUACGCUAAUACCGCAUACGAUCUACGGAUGAAAGCGGGGGAUCGCAAGACCUCGCGCGAUUGGAGCGGCCGAUAUCAGAUUAGGUAGUUGGUGAGGUAAAGGCUCACCAAGCCGACGAUCUGUAGCUGGUCUGAGAGGACGACCAGCCACACUGGGACUGAGACACGGCCCAGACUCCUACGGGAGGCAGCAGUGGGGAAUUUUGGACAAUGGGCGCAAGCCUGAUCCAGCAAUGCCGCGUGCAGGAUGAAGGCCUCGGUUGUAACGUAGU
rnacentral:rRNA from 1 species